UUUCACAACACACUCAUACUUUACAUUCACACAUUCUCUUUCAGUUACACUCAUUCAUUCACGCAUAUCAUUCGUAACCACACAAAAUACCAAAAUAAACGGACAAUAGGGACGCAAGACUUAUGGCCUUUUCGCAUCAACUGUUCCCAAUUAUGAGAACAAUUGAGCUAGACCUGACGGGACAACUAGUCAAUUGCGUAUUGAUUCCAAAAGGAAUCAACAGAAUUUCCCUAAUACUAAUGGACAAGUAACGACGAAGUAAAAAAAAAUAAAAAAUAAAUAAAUUAGAAAACAUUUAACAUGUUGCCAUCAUUGCGCUGGAAUAUAACUGGAAGAUUUUUCUUAGUGUUUUUGCGCAACAUAAAUGACCAACCCGAAUGGAUCGAAACAAUCAUUGAACGCACUUCGCACACUCACAGAAGUGAGAAAACAACAGAUGAUUGUUUUGAUGACAUCGCCGAAUGCGAAUGAUGCUGAAGCGAUUGGUAAAUGUAAACAUAAACAAUCCAGCCGACCCGUCGCGAUCGUUGCGACUGUGAUUGUAAUAAUCAUUCGUUUAUCGCGGAUUCUGGUGGUUUCUGCGGAUAGAGACCAUCAUCGGGCAAGUGUUUAAGGCCUUCCACGGUGGAAGGAAGUGUUUUUAAAAGUGUUAUCCCCUCAAAGAGGGGUUUUCGAGGUGAUUUUACCCCGACGAAGUGGGGUUUUAUGUGUGUUCAUCCCGUCGAAAGGAUUGUGUAUGUGUUUUCUUGCCUUGCCUUGCUAACAGCUAGAAAGUGACUACUGCGGCGAGCGAACCACAGGAUCAGAGGCCUGCAGCUCGCUGGCCAACAGCCCACGCAAACGACGACGCCUUUUGGUGUAUGAUUGAUCCGAUUCGGGAGGGAUGACAACACUGCGGGAGUUCAACUCAAAGUCGAUCUCGUCUUGUUCGAGAUGAUCGGCUCGCAAGUGGAAGUACGCGACGUUGAAUUCUCCCAACGUCAACACGUUGAGCACCAUUUUGACGAAAGAGGACACAAAUCUUUAAAAUAUGGACGGUUUCAAAACUUGACCAACUGUUCGAUGAAGUCACCAAAAUGCUUCACGUGCCACCCUAAACCGCUCGAAAGAAUUGGCGAUCCCGCCCUUGGAACUUUGCAAAUCUACUCGUGCCAAAUCGUUCAACAGACGGGACGAAUAACCGAUUUAGGAACACAAAUAUAAUACAAACAAUAUAAAAUUUUAUAAACGGU